ncrna:unclassified sequences Flavobacterium-1 RNA
AAGCUCAAGGGCGUCCAAAUCUUGCCAAUGGCAUUUCCCUGUACGUUAGCUAUUAUGGGUAAAACCUAGCAACCUGGAGUUUGACCGAUUGUUAGUACGUGCACGGAAAGCAAUCGGUU